GACGAACGCUGGCGGCGUGCUUAACACAUGCAAGUCGAACGCUGAACCCGCUUCGGUGGGGGAUGAGUGGCGAACGGGUGAGUAACACGUGGGCAACCUGCCCCCGGCUCUGGGAUAACUCCAAGAAAAUGGGGCUAAUACCGGAUGUGACCGCUGGCCGCAUGGUCUGGUGGUGGAACGGGUUUCCGGCUGGGGAUGGGCCCGCGGCCUAUCAGCUUGUUGGUGGGGUAGUGGACUACCAAGGCGAAGAGGGGUAGCCGGCCUGAGAGGAGGACCGACCACGCUGCGACUGGGACACGGCCCAGCAUCCUACGGGAGGCAGCAGUGGGGAACAUUGCGCAAUGGGCGGAAGCCUGACGCAGCGACGCCGCGAGGGGGAUGACGGCCUUCGUGUUGUAAACCUCUUUCAGCAGGGACGAAGCGCAAGUGACGGUACCUGCAGAAGAAGCACCGGCCAACUACGUG
rnacentral:rRNA from 1 species